GACGUAGGAGGCGAGCGUUGUCCGGAUUCAUUGGGCGUAAAGAGCACGCAGGCGGUUUGGCAAGUCGGACGUGAAAAUCCGGGGCUCAACCCCGGACCUGCAUCCGAAACUGCCCGACUAGAGGUAGGUAGGGGAGAUCGGAAUUCCUGGUGUAGCGGUGAAAUGCGCAGAUAUCAGGAGGAACACCGGUGGCGAAGGCGGAUCUCGUGGGCCUUACCUGACGCUCAGGUGCGAAAGCUAGGGGAGCGAACAGG
rnacentral:rRNA from 1 species